AAAUGUUAUGUAUAGUUUGCCACAAUUAAAAGUAAAUAAAUAUAUUUUUAAUCCACCUUCUUCCCAAUAUGGUGAGAGGCAGAAGGAGACUCCUUCAAUCGCUGUCAUUUCAAAGCUGUGCUGCCUCUCACACCAUAUCCCUAGGAACCCGAACAAAAAGACAAGGAGCCAACAUAAAGGGGAUUCAGGGGUCCCCAGGGGGCCUCCCCAGCAUCCUGGGACUGUACUCCCUCCUGGGGAAGGUAAAUAAAAUCAGUUCAUCAACCAUCAACUCACUGGAAAGCAGGAAACAGACUCUCUAAAAUCAGCCCAGAUUGCUACAUAGGAAUUGUCCAAAGUCCAAAAAGUUGCCACUCUUUAAAGGAGGCAGAGGAGAAUACAUAAAAACUGAGAAGGAAGAAACAAGCAAGGUGGGGUAGAGAAGGACUCCAGUGCAAUCAAGAAGGAGACUUCUAGCCUGAGACCAGGGGUGGAACUCAGGUUUAUUUUGUGCCCAACUGGAGCCAAGAUGGUUGUGAAAAGGGGCCGCGAUCACAGCUCGUUCAUUCACCUGCACUCCCACCUCCCCUCUGAAUCUGCCACAUAGUUAUCUAAGCUGCCUCCACCAACGAACCCUCUGGAGAAAGAAGAAUAAUGGAAACUCAGUCCAAGGAGCUUAUUUCCUGUUCGGAGGGGUUUCGCAAGGCAGCAGAUUGAAAUUAAUGACAAAAGUAACUGAGAUUCUUGUCAAUCAAGCUCUCCCUGAAUCAGGCUGAAAUCUGUCACUCAAGAGUUUCUUUAAGGGUGUCUCAUUCCUGCAUUAUAGAAUAAAAUGGAACAAACAUUCUC